GCCGCCGUAACGUAGCUUGGUAGCGUACAGGCCUGUGGAGCCUGGAGGCCGGGUUCAAAUCCCGGCGGCGGCC
rnacentral:tRNA from 1 species